UUGUAAAACAUUAAAAGCAAAUAAAGAAUACCAGCCGCACACACAUACUCCAACACCCCUUCGUCUCUUCCUGCAGCUCCGCUGACCGGAGCCGAUACUUCGGGCGACGAUUUCCAGCGAGCAAGCCACACCCCAGACACAACACUCUUGUACCACUACACACGCAUACACACCUGAAUCCGAGAGAGAGAGAGAGAGAGAGAGAGAGAGCCAAGAAGAAGGGAGAAAGGCGAGAUAGAUGCUGGUGGCCGUGGAAGUAAUGGCGGCUGAGCCGUUUCUUCUCCGGCGGGUUUCAGAGGCGGUGGUGAACAGAGCAUCAACGGAUGAGCAGAGCUGUGAUGGUGGAAGUUGUGUGGCUCGGAGAGGAGGUGAUUGAAUGAGGGGCGACUGGCGGCUGACCGAUGUUUUGGCAAGAAGUAAUAACACCGGUGGUGGUGUUUCAGCUCACGGCCUUUCGGCAGAACUCCGACGGGUCACGGAGGCGGCGGUCGUUAUUUGGUGGCAGCGGCCGCGUGUUUUGAUGCCGGUACAACAGAUCAGUGACGAAGGUGGGUUCGGCUAGUGGCGUUGCGGUAGUGAUUGCGAGUUGUCGAGCUAGUGGACCCGGGUGACCGAUCACAGCGGCGCAGGAAUCCUGGGGCAGGGACGGCAGGAGUCGAUCAUCGAGACGUGGUUGACCAACUUAGGACAAACGCUUUAUCUACCGAGCAAAGCAAAGGUCGUUAGAGGUUUAGCUGGAGCUUGCAGGGGAGCAGGAGUCGUUGUGGGACAUGAACCGCUGCGUGUUCAUGAAAAACUUUAUUAAAUUAAAAACUUAAAUUUUGGUUUUGAACUUAAACGCUUCCGCUGACUAUUCAACUUGGUUUUGGACUUUGGUUUGGAGAACUUUAGACGUUUGGUUUUA